AUGCCCCACACACCACACACAUCCACAUCACACAGUUACACCAUGCCCCCCACACAACACGCAAACACAACACACAUCCACAUCACAGUCACACCAUGCCCCACACACGACACACAUAAGCACACCACACACAUCUACAUCAGUCACACCAUGCCCCACACACAACACACAUCCACAUCACACACACAGUUACACCAUGCACAAACAACACACAUCCACAUCACACACACAGUCACCCCAUGCCCCACACACAAUAAACACAACACACAUCCACAUCACACACACAAUUAUACCAUGCCCCACACACAACACACAAACCCACCACAUACAUCCACAUCACACACACAGUUACACCAUGCCCCGCACACAACACACAAACCCACCACACACAUCCACAUCACACACACAGUUCCACCAUGUCCACAAGCCACCACACACACACAUCACACAUCCACAUCACAGUCACACCAUGCUCCACACAACACACACAAACACACCACACACAUCCACAUUACACACACACACACACAUACACAGUUACACCAUGUCCAAAAACCACCACACACAUCCAUAUCACAGUCACACCAUGCUCCACACACAACACACAAGCACACCACACACAUCCACAUCAACAGUCACACUGUGCCCCACACACCACCAAACACCACACACAUCCACAUCUCACACACAAACCAUGCCCCACACAACACACACACCACACACAUCCACAUCAUACAGUUACACCAUGCCCCACCACAACAUGAACCCACCACAUACAUCCACGUCCAGUUACACCAUGUCCACAAACCACCACACACACAAGCACACCACACACAUCCAUGUCACACAAAGUCACACUAUGCCUCUCACAACACACAAACCCACCACACACAUCCACAUCACAGUUACUCCAUGCUCCACCCACAACACACACAAACCCACCACACACAUCCACAUCACACAGUUACUCCAUGCUUCACACACAACACAAACACCCCACACACAUCCACAUCACACAUGCAGUCACACCAUGCUCCACACAACACACACAAACACACCACACACAUCCACAUCACACAGUCACACCAUGCCUCACACAUAACACACAAACCUACCACAUACAUCCACAUCACACACACACAGUUACACCAUCCCCACAUACCACAGAAGCACACCAUACACAUCCACAUCACACAGUCACACCAUGCCCCACACCAUCACACACACAAACACAUCACACACAUCCACAUCACAGUCACCCAUCCCCACACACCACCACACACUCAAAUACACCACACACAUCCACAUCACAGUCACCCAUCCCCACACACCACCACACAUGCAAACACACCACACACAUCUCAACACACACACAGUCACACCAUGCCCCACACACUGCCACACAUGCAAAUACACCACACAUAUCCACAGCACACAAUGUCGUAUCAUCCCCCAAACACCACUGUACACAAACAUACCACACAAUCCACAUCACACACACAGAAAGUCAAACUAUGCCCCACACAUCACACACAUCUACAGUGCACACUAAGACCACAUGUCCCAGUCACACACAAACCCCACAAGACACCCGCACACAGAGGCACACAGACACCCCUAGUGGAUGAGGCAUUUCCUGGUCACUCUGGUCAUCUCUGGGUCCUGGGAGCCUGUUUGAGCCCCAAGAGCCUGGCCGCUGCUGGGAAAAGCCGUGGGCAGGUGGAUCCAGGGCAGGCCAGGGUCCCUCCCGUGAGCUGCAGGAGGCCAUGGUGCAGUCCCACAGGCUGCUGGGAAGAGCUGGAGGGGCCAAGGCUGUGGGGAGCCCCACUCUGCCCUCCCGGGGCUGCUGCCCCACUGGCGCUGGCCUCAGCCACCCCUCCUCCCGAGCUCCUCCCAUCCUCCCCAGUUUCCUGCCCCAGCCAGGCUGUGCCUGCCACCACAGCUCUGAAAGGCUGGGCUUCUUGGCACAGGAACACGAUCUUUGGGGCGUCUUUGCCUUCCCAGGGAGCACGGGACUCCUGA
rnacentral:lncRNA from 13 species